UGGGGAAUUUUGGACAAUGGGCGAAAGCCUGAUCCAGCAAUGCCGCGUGUGUGAAGAAGGCCUUCGGGUUGUAAAGCACUUUUGUCCGGAAAGAAAUCCUUGGCUCUAAUACAGUCGGGGGAUGACGGUACCGGAAGAAUAAGCACCGGCUAACUACGUGCCAGCAGCCGCGGUAAUACGUAGGGUGCAAGCGUUAAUCGGAAUUACUGGGCGUAAAGCGUGCGCAGGCGGUUUGCUAAGACCGAUGUGAAAUCCCCGGGCUCAACCUGGGAACUGCACUGGUGACUGGCAGGCUAGAGUAUGGCAGAGGGGGGUAGAAUUCCACGUGUAGCAGUGAAAUGCGUAGAGAUGUGGAGGAAUACCGAUGGCGAAGGCAGCCCCCUGGGCCAAAUACUGACGCUCAUGCACGAAAGCGUGGGGAGCAAAACAGGAUUAGAUACCCUGGUAGUCCACGCCCUAAACGAUGUCACUAGUUGUUGGGGAUUCAUUUCCUUAGUAACGUAGCUAACGCGUGAAGUUGACCGCCUGGGGAGUACGGUCGCAAAGAUUAAAACUCAAAUGAAUUGACGGGGUCAUA
rnacentral:rRNA from 1 species